GGGAGUAUAGUUUAAAGGUAAAGCGUAUGUGUUGCAUGCAUAAAAUUAUUGGUUCGAUCCCAUUUACUUCCA
rnacentral:tRNA from 1 species